AACGAACGCUGGCGGCAUGCCUAACACAUGCAAGUCGAACGAGACCUUCGGGUCUAGUGGCGCACGGGUGCGUAACGCGUGGGAACCUGCCCUUAGGUUCGGAAUAACUCCCCGAAAGGGGUGCUAAUACCGGAUAAUGUCUUCGGACCAAAGAUUUAUCGCCUUUGGAUGGGCCCGCGUUGGAUUAGCUAGUUGGUAGGGUAAAAGCCUACCAAGGCGACGAUCCAUAGCUGGUCUGAGAGGAUGAUCAGCCACACUGGGACUGAGACACGGCCCAGACUCCUACGGGAGGCAGCAGUGGGGAAUAGUGGACAAUGGGCGAAAGCAUGAUCCAGCAAUGCCGGGUGAGUGAUGAAGGCAUGAGGGUUGUAAAGCUCUUUUAACCGGGAUGAUAAUGACAGUACCGGGAGAAUAAGCGCCGGCUAACUCCGUG
rnacentral:rRNA from 1 species